rnacentral:tRNA from 2 species
GCUACUGUAGCUCAGCUGGUAGAGCAUCUCAUUCGUAAUGAGAGGGUCGUAGGUUCGAAUCCUAUCAGUAGCU